CCUACGGGAGGCAGCAGUGGGGAAUUUUGGACAAUGGACGCAAGUCUGAUCCAGCCAUGCCGCGUGCGGGAAGAAGGCCUUCGGGUUGUAAACCGCUUUUGUCAGGGAAGAAAAGGUUCUGGUUAAUACCUGGGACUCAUGACGGUACCUGAAGAAUAAGCACCGGCUAACUACGUGCCAGCAGCCGCGGUAAUACGUAGGGUGCAAGCGUUAAUCGGAAUUACUGGGCGUAAAGCGUGCGCAGGCGGUUAUGCAAGACAGAGGUGAAAUCCCCGGGCUCAACCUGGGAACUGCCUUUGUGACUGCAUAGCUAGAGUACGGUAGAGGGGGAUGGAAUUCCGCGUGUAGCAGUGAAAUGCGUAGAUAUGCGGAGGAACACCGAUGGCGAAGGCAAUCCCCUGGACCUGUACUGACGCUCAUGCACGAAAGCGUGGGGAGCAAACAGGAUUAGAUACCCUGGUAGUCCACGCCCUAAACGAUGUCAACUGGUUGUUGGGAGGGUUUCUUCUCAGUAACGUAGCUAACGCGUGAAGUUGACCGCCUGGGGAGUACGGCCGCAAGGUUGAAACUCAAAUGAAUUGACGG
rnacentral:rRNA from 1 species